UAACGGAUCUUGGGCAAUGGGCGAAAGCCUGACCCAGCGACGCCGCGUGCGGGAGGAAGUCCUUCGGGAUGUAAACCGCUGUCAGGGGUAAGAAAGUCCGUUUCGGCGGAUUGAUCUAACCCAGAGGAAGUCACGGCUAACUCUGUGCCAGCAGCCGCGGUAAGACAGAGGUGGCUAGCGUUGUUCGGUAUCACUGGGCUUAAAGCGUGGGUAGGCGGAAGCGUAAGCAUGUUGUGAAAUCCCUCGGCUUAACCGGGGAAUUGCUUGUUGUACUGCGGUGCUUGAGGCAGGUAGGGGUGCGAGGAACUCUUGGUGGAGCGGUGAAAUGCGUAGAUAUCAAGAGGAACGCCGGUGGUGAAGGCGUCGCACUAGGCCUGUCCUGACGCUGAGACACGAAAGCGUGGGGAGCGAACG
rnacentral:rRNA from 1 species